UUUCCCUCAGGAUAGUCAAAGUCGUAAUAAAGCUGUUAUAUUCGAUAAUAGCGAAUGAUUAGGAGAAUUGUGGGACGAAAUGUUUUCAUUCUAUUCUCAAACCUUCAAUGAGUAUGACCUCUCGCUUGCUUGAAUAACACGUAGACAUUGAAUGUGUGCUCCAUGUACGCCAUUUUUGACAACAGAAUUGGCGAUUUGAUAAAUAA
rnacentral:ncRNA from 1 species